rnacentral:rRNA from 1 species
GGCCAGACUCCUACGGGAGGCAGCAGUGGGGAAUAUUGCACAAUGGGGGAAACCCUGAUGCAGCGACGCCGCGUGAGUGAAGAAGUAUUUCGGUAUGUAAAGCUCUAUCAGCAGGGAAGAAAAUGACGGUACCUGACUAAGAAGCCCCGGCUAACUACGUGCCAGCAGCCGCGGUAAUACGUAGGGGGCAAGCGUUAUCCGGAUUUACUGGGUGUAAAGGGGGCGCAGACGGCGAUGCAAGCCAGGAGUGAAAGCCCGGGGCCCAACCCCGGGACUGCUCUUGGAACUGCGUGGCUGGAGUGCAGGAGGGGCAGGCGGAAUUCCUGGUGUAGCGGUGAAAUGCGUAGAUAUCAGGAGGAACACCGGUGGCGAAGGCGGCCUGCUGGACUGCAGCUGACGUUGAGGCCCGAAAGCGUGGGGAGCAAACAGGAUUAGAUACCCGGGUAAC